rnacentral:misc_RNA from 1 species
CUCUGCAGGAGCAGGAUCA